GACGAACCGUGCGAACGUUGUUCGGAAUCACUGGGCUUAAAGGGCGCGUAGGCGGGCCGCCGCGUCCGGGGUGAAAUCCCCCCGCUCAACGGGGGAACGGCCUCGGAUACGGGCGGUCUGGAGGCGGGUAGGGGCACGCGGAACUGUGGGUGGAGCGGUGAAAUGCGUUGAGAUCCACAGGAACUCCGGUGGCAAAGGCGGCGUGCUGGACCCGAUCUGACGCUGAGGCGCGAAAGCCAGGGGAGCGAACGGG
rnacentral:rRNA from 1 species